AAAAGGACUAUAUUUAAAAUUUUACAAAAAAAUAUAGAGAUUUAUAACGUAUUUUAACUUAAAUAAUAUAAUAAUCCAGUCGUAGACUUUGCCCUGGACGAGCCCUAAUAAGCAAACUAGCUUUGAAAAUGGAGGGGAGAACUCUGUGACAUUGGCGGCGCUAAAGCAACGGAGUCCAAAAGAAAUGGCUACACAAGAAGACGAUGAAGACUAUAUAAAUCCCCCUGAAAUGAUCUUGCCUGAUGAAGAAGAUGAAGGGAAGAGCCUUACCAUGCUAGGUGACGGUGCAGUGACGCAACAACUGCAACAACAUUCUAUCCGUUCGAUCGAGUCAACGGUGGUGAUUAGGCAGCUUCCUUCGGAAGGGAUUUCUUUCCAGCUUUGGCCAGCCGCUACGACGCUUGUUACGCUCCUUGAAAACCACCGCCGUUACCCCAACAAAAACCUCCUAACUGAUUUGUCCACCAGUGGAGGUAAUGAUGAUCGGAAACUGAAAAUCCUUAAGCUAGGGUCCGGUACUGGGCUCGUCGGAAUUUCCGCAGCCGUGAUGUUCGGAGCUAAUGUGACGGUGACAGACUUGCCACAAGUCGUCCCCAACCUUCAAUUCAACGUUGACGCGAACGCUGACGUAGUAGCUCGAAAAGGUGGGACCGUCAACGUGGCUCCAUUGAGGUGGGGAGAGGAUGAUGACGUGAAGGUUAUUGGGCGGGAAUUUGAUAUUGUUUUGGCCUCCGACGUGGUUUAUCAUGCUCAUUUGUUCGAGCCGUUGAUCCAAACGCUACGUUUUCUGUUGAACGGAGGAUGUGAAAAGAUGGCUUUCAUUAUGGCACACUCGAGAAGGUGGAAAAAGGAAUCUGUAUUUUUCAAGAAAGUUUUUUGAUGUCGAAACCAUACACACUGAACCUCCGAAGGAGGGAUCUAGACUUGGAGUAGUUGUUUAUGUCUUUGCUGGGAAAAAGCUAAAAUGCUAAAAGGAGUUUGAAUUGACCAAAGAUUGCCGACAAGGUUAUGGUUAAUUAAGUUGAUAAUUAAGUUCGAUUUCUUA